AACGAACGCUGGCGGCAGGCCUAACACAUGCAAGUCGAGCGCCCCGCAAGGGGAGCGGCGGACGGGUGAGUAACGCGUGGGAACGUACCCUUUGCUACGGAAUAGCCUCGGGAAACUGGGAGUAAUACCGUAUGUGUCCUUCGGGAGAAAGAUUUAUCGGCAAGGGAUCGGCCCGCGUUGGAUUAGGUAGUUGGUGGGGUAAUGGCCUACCAAGCCGACGAUCCAUAGCUGGUUUGAGAGGAUGAUCAGCCACACUGGGACUGAGACACGGCCCAUACUCCUACGGGAGGCAGCAGUGGGGAAUCUUAGACAAUGGGCGCAAGCCUGAUCGAGCCAUGCCGCGUGAGCGAUGAAGGCCUGAGGGUUGUAAAGCUCUUUCAGGGGGGAAGAUAAUGACUGUACCCCCAGAAGAAGCCCCGGCUAACUCCG
rnacentral:rRNA from 1 species